GAUAAACGCUGGCGGCGUGCCUAACACAUGCAAGUCGAGCGGUAAGGCCCUUUUAGGGUACACGAGCGGCGGACGGGUGAGUAACGCGUAGGAAUCUACCCCAGACUGAGGGAUAGCCCACCGAAAGGUGGAUUAAUACCGCAUACGGUCUUCGGAUUAAAGCUUCGGCGGUUUGGGAAGAGCCUGCGUAAGAUUAGCUAGUUGGUAAGGUAAUGGCUUACCAAGGCGACGAUCUUUAGCUGGUCUGAGAGGAUGAUCAGCCACACUGAAACUGAGACACGGUCCAGACUCCUACGGGAGGCAGCAGUGAGGAAUUUUCCACAAUGGGCGAAAGCCUGAUGGAGCAACGCCGCGUGCAGGAUGAAUGCCUUCGGGUUGUAAACUGCUUUUGUCUGUGACGAAUAUGACGGUAGCAGACGAAUAAAGAUCGGCUAACUCCGUGCCAGCCGCCGCCGUAA
rnacentral:rRNA from 1 species